rnacentral:rRNA from 1 species
CCUACGGGAGGCAGCAGUGGGGAAUAUUGCACAAUGGGGGAAACCCUGAUGCAGCGACGCCGCGUGAGUGAAGAAGUAUUUCGGUAUGUAAAGCUCUAUCAGCAGGGAAGAAGAAAGACGGUACCUGACUAAGAAGCACCGGCUAACUACGUGCCAGCAGCCGCGGUAAUCCGUGGGGGGCAAGCGUUAUCCGGAUUUACUGGGUGUAAAGGGAGCGUAGACGGCUUUGCAAGUCUGAAGUUAAAGCCCAGGGCUCAACCCCGGGACUGCUUUGGAAACUGUGGAGCUAGAGUGCUGGAGAGGUAAGUGGAAUUCCUAGUGUAGCGGUGAAAUGCGUAGAUAUUAGGAGGAACACCAGUGGCGAAGGCGGCUUACUGGACAGUAACUGACGUUGAGGCUCGAAAGCGUGGGGAGCAAACAGGAUUAGAUACCCUAGUAGUC